rnacentral:rRNA from 1 species
GAUGAACGCUGGCUACAGGCUUAACACAUGCAAGUCGAGGGGAAACGACGGGGAAGCUUGCUUCCCCGGGCGUCGACCGGCGCACGGGUGAGUAACGCGUAUCCAACCUGCCUCUGACUGAGGGAUAACCCGUCGAAAGUCGGCCUAAUACCUCAUGGCAUCGUCUGCGGGCAUCCAACGACGAUUAAAGAUUUCAUCGGUCAGAGCUGGGGAUGCGUCUGAUUAGCUUGUUGGCGGGGUAACGGCCCACCAAGGCGACGAUCAGUAGGGGUUCUGAGAGGAAGGUACCCCACAUUGGAACUGAGACCCGGUCCAAAACCCUACGGGAGGCAGCAGUGAGGAAUAUUGGUCAAUGGGCGAGAGCCUGAACCAGCCAAGUAGCGUGCAGGAUGACGGCCCUAUGGGUUGUAAACUGCUUUUAUGCGGGGAUAAAGUGAGGGACGUGUCCUUCAUUGAAGGUACCGCAUGAAUAAGGACCGGCUAAUUCCGUG